rnacentral:rRNA from 1 species
UACGUAGGGGGCGAGCGUUAUCCGGAUUUACUGGGCGUAAAGCGUGCGCAGGCGGCUUUGCAAGACAGAUGUGAAAUCCCCGGGCUUAACCUGGGAACUGCAUUUGUGACUGCAUGGCUAGAGUGCGGCAGAGGGGGAUGGAAUUCCGCGUGUAGCAGUGAAAUGCGUAGAUAUGCGGAGGAACACCGAUGGCGAAGGCAAUCCCCUGGGCCUGCACUGACGCUCAUGCACGAAAGCGUGGGGAGCAAACAGG